rnacentral:misc_RNA from 1 species
AGCAGCCGCGGUAAUUCCAGCUCCAAUAGCGUAUAUUAAAGUUGCUGCAGUUAAAAGCUCGUAGUUGAAUUUCGGGACCAUCAUGUUGGUCGUGCCUCGGUACGUACUGGCAUUGUUGGUUUCUCCCUUCUGACGAACCAUGAUGUCAUUUAUUUGGUGUCGUGGGAAAUCAGGACUGUUACUUUGAAAAAUUAGAGUGUUUAAAGCAGGCUCACGCUUGAAUACAUUAGCAUGGAAUAAUGAAAUAGGACGUUUGAUUCUAUUUUGUUGGUUUCUAGGAUCGACGUAAUGAUUAAUAGGGAUAGUUGGGGGCAUUAGUAUUCAAUUGUCAGAGGUGAAAUUCUUGGAUUUAUUGAAGACUAACUACUGCGAAAGCAUUUGCCAAGGAUGUUUUCAUUAAUCAAGAACGAAAGUUAGGGGAUCGAAGACGAUCAGAUACCGUCGUAGUCUUAACCAUAAACUAUGCCGACUGGGGAUCGGAUGAUGUUAAUUUUUUAAUUGUACUCU